rnacentral:tRNA from 1 species
UCCGCGGUAGCUCAAUGGCAGAGCAUGCGGCUGUUAACCGCAGGGUUGUAGGUUCGAGUCCUACCCGCGGAG